rnacentral:lncRNA from 12 species
AUGCGUUUUACCUGGAUUUAUGCCUGUCAGUGCAAACCCCCAGGUACUCACGAUGGAGUGAGAGGAUCACCUCCAUAUGCAGAGGCUAGGAACCCCUAUCUGUAUUCAAAGGACAGAAGCGCAUGGCUAGAGCCGACUAGCUGGGAAAUGGGAGUUCCAGCUGGAUCUCCAUAUCAGACUGAAGAACAAGAAGAAGAUGGAAAAGCGUGCCUGUGUUCUUGUUCCUGGAAAUGUUCCAUUUAAAUUCAGAUUAUCUCCUCUCCUGCCUGCCCAAACAUUGGUUCUACUUGUGUGUGUGGUUUUUUUUUUUUUUUUUUUAUUUUUUUUGUUUUUUUGUUUUUUUUUUUUUUUGUCUGUCUCCCCUUUUCCUUUCCCUUAAACCGUCUUGAAAUGGAGUUUGUUGAAGAUAAGGAUUUGUCAUUUGCUAUAUGAGUCUGGUCAAGUGAAACUUCUGAUAAUUUUAAGGAAGUGACUCAAAGUUUUUAGUUGGGGUUUUCCUCACCUGUGAAGACCUAUGUUUACUUAAAAAAAACAAAGAAAAGUAAGCCUUGAUUUCCUGUGAGAUUGACAGAAGGAAGAUUGAUGGAGAUAAAUGACCCAGAAGGAAGUCCUCUUGUCUGAUAUAAAACUCUAGCAAGAAUGAGAAGCCUGACAUGGGUAAUGAUAUUUACAUAUAUGCAUUGAUUUAUAGUAUUUUUUUUUUUCUGGAACGCAUGUACAUUUCCUAGUUGUUCUUGAGUGAGGAUGACAGACCUCCUGGAAAUUUGUGAUUGAAUUUGGACCCAGUUAGGGAAGCUCUGUUACCUACCAAAAAAUUUUAGGUAAGUUUAGUUAAAGUGAAAAUUACUUUUGGGUUUUAGUCUUUGAGAAGGUUGGUCCCUCUGAUUUUAAUGAUUUUUCUUUUGUUACAAUACGUGUUAUUGUUUAUGCAAAAAAGUUGUAUUAUUUGGAUUAUGCUAGAUAGGGGUGUGUAUACUGCUUACAUAGAUUAGGUGCAUUUUUAAUAACCUGUUACUGUUUGUUGUUAUUGAUAUGUCAAAUUAUAGAUGACAUCACCCUCUAGUGAUUCUUUAGUGUGCCAUCGGAGAUAUAAUUUGAUAUAUAUUUUUUAAUUUUAUAGAAACAUUUCAAUGGAGGCACCAUACAUUUAUUAUUUAUGUUACUGAGGUCCUGAGCUGACAGCUGCUAUUGAUUGCUAAACUAACUUCUAACCUCGAGAUUAUAAAAGUUAUGGUUUUCAGAUCAUACAGGAAACAUGUUUACUAUUUUCAAUUGCUAAUCCUAUCAAAUAAAUAAUUAUUCCCCUUAUUUUUUUUUUUGUGG